AUUGAACGCUGGCGGCAUGCCUUACACAUGCAAGUCGAACGGUAACAGGUUAAGCUGACGAGUGGCGAACGGGUGAGUAAUAUAUCGGAACGUGCCCAGUCGUGGUGGAUAACGUAGUGAAAAUUACGCUAAUACCGCAUACGAUCUAUGGAUGAAAGCGGGGGAUCGCAAGACCUCGCGCGAUUGGAGCGGCCGAUAUCAGAUUAGGUAGUUGGUGGGGUAAAGGCCCACCAAGACAAAGAUCUGUAGCUGGUCUGAGAGGACGACCAGCCACACUGGAACUGAGACACGGUCCAGACUCCUACGGGAGGCAGCAGUGGGGAAUUUUGGACAAGGGGCGAAAGCCUGAUCCAGCCAUUCCGCGUGCAGGAUGAAGGCCCUCGGGUUGUAAACUGCUUUUGUACAGAACGAAAAGGUUUCUACUAAUACUAGGAGCUCAUGACGGUACUGUAAGAAUAAGCACCGGCUAACUACGUGCCAGCCGCCGCCGUAA
rnacentral:rRNA from 1 species